ACAGGGUGGGUGUACACUUUGAGCUCUUUCUAGUUGCAGCUUUGUUAUUUCUGCUCCAAUUUCACAGUGCGAGAGACGCCUUAAAUGCCACAGCCUACUCCAAUGGAUCUCACCAUGCACAGACUGCAUGGUGGCGGUGGGCUGCAGGGGGACCAGUCCUUGUCUCUGGAGGUUGAGGAUAUGCUGCUGCUGAAGCUGCUGCAUCUGGAUCAGCUGCUGCUGGAAAGCCAACUGUUUACUGCCUAACUGCUGUUAGCCAGAAGACAGGGAGAGACAGAGGUCUGGGGCAGACCUGGCCUGUGCUGUGCUGUUUGAAGUCCCCCCUGACCAACCCCCGAGAGAGACGGACUUUAUCUCUCACAGAUAACUGGAGAAGGGGGAAAAAUAAAUAAAUACAACCUGAGGAACUGCUCACUCUUUGUGCAUGUGUGUGUGUGUGUGUGAGAGAGAGUGGCAGCUUGAAACUCUUUGAACAGAGAAGAUCUCACAGGAAGGGCAGAGAGGUCACUUCCUUUCAGACUUGGUGCCAGGGGAGAAGAAGUGUG